UUUUGGAAGUCGGUUAAAAACACCUCCUCAGACGCAUUUGCCAAUCGACACUUAACGUAACGCUACAAUGAGCGUAACACUACAAUGGGUCAUCCUUUUUCUUGCAAGCCUUCAUCGAUUUAUUAGACGUUGUCACGUCAAAAAUUAAUAUUAUAUAUUUUUCAAAACUUAGUAACUGUGAAGUUUUUCGUGAUUAUUGCAGAAUAGAUUCCGAGUCAGCGGUACGUUCACUUUGACUAUAAUUAAGUAAUUCAUUAAAGCAGAAAUUAAUUUUAAUUUGUAAAAUGACAGUUGAAAAUUGCUUUUGUAGCCUGGCAUACUUGAACAAAUAAUUUUUGAUUUUAAAAUUUGUUUAAAUAUUUUUGUUGUUUAAAAUAAUUAUUUGUUUUUGCUUGUCAUCAUGUCAUUUGUCUAAAGUUGUCUGUAAGUGGUGUGUGUCACACAAAUAAUUAAAAGUACUUUCUAUUUUAUCCCAUUCAAAAAUAACCUUAUAUCAAAUUUACUAUUUAACGUGAAUAAGUAAUUGCACAGGCCCAAAAAUUAAAUAUUUCGAGAUACGAUAAAUUCAAGAAUGAUGGAGAAAAUUCCAAAAAAAAAAAAAAGAAAAAUAUGGU